CGGUGCGCCUGCGCGCUGCGGCGGCCGCGCUUGCGCAGGACGACGGGGAGGCAGCCGGGGUCACCCUGAGCUGCGCACCGCGCCGCGAUGCUGAGCAGGUUCCUGGGCCCGCGCUACCGCGAGCUGGCCAGAAACUGGAUUCCCACAGCAGGCAUGUGGGGCGCCGUGGGCACCGUGGGGCUGGUGUGGGCCACAGACUGGCGGCUCAUUCUGGACUGGGUGCCCUACAUCAACGGCAAGUUUAAGAAGGACGAUUAGUGAGACUGACCCUCCUCGGAUCCCUGUGGUGAGGCCCUGGGCCUGCGGCAGCCAAGCGGCAUCACCGGAUUUGAUUUUGGAGCCCGACAGUGGUGUCUGUCCCUCAUCACCACUCAGCGCCUCCUUUCCUACAAGAGCAGGAGCCGGGGGCUCACCCUGCCGUCUCCCCUCCAGGUGUCUGCGGUGCUGCCCCCUCCCACGUGAGGUCCUGUGGUGCCUGGAACAGCCCAGCGUGACUCAGGACUCUGUUUCUGACAACAGCUUUCAUGUUUGAAUGCACACAGCAUUAAACCGUGCUCUGAAACCCGC